rnacentral:rRNA from 1 species
GGCCUUCGGGUUGUAAACCUCUUUCGCCCGGGACGAAAAUGACGGGACCGGAACAGCAGGCCCCGGGUAGCUUCGUUACAAGGAGCCCCGGGAAUAUUAUAGGCCCGCAGCCCGGGUAAUAA